rnacentral:rRNA from 1 species
UUGAACGCUGGCGGCAGGCCUAACCCAUGCCAGUCGAGCGGAUGAAGGGAGCUUGCUCCUGGAUUCAGCGGCGGACGGGUGAGUAAUGCCUAGGAAUCUGCCUGGUAGUGGGGGAUAACGUCCGGAAACGGGCGCUAAUACCGCAUACGUCCUGAGGGAGAAAGUGGGGGAUCUUCGGACCUCACGCUCUCAGAUGAGCCUAGGUCGGAUUAGCUAGUUGGUGGGGUAAAGGCCUACCAAGGCGACGAUCCGUAACUGGUCUGAGAGGAUGAUCAGUCACACUGGAACUGAGACACGGUCCAGACUCCUACGGGAGGCAGCAGUGGGGAAUAUUGGACAAUGGGCGAAAGCCUGAUCCAGCCAUGCCGCGUGUGUGAAGAAGGUCUUCGGAUUGUAAAGCACUUUAAGUUGGGAGGAAGGGCAGUAAGUUAAUACCUUGCUGUUUUGACGUUACCAACAGAAUAAGCACCGGCUAACUUCGUG